rnacentral:rRNA from 1 species
CGCAUCUGUGCAUGCAGCAUAUCAAUAAGCGGAGGAAAAGAAACUAACAAGGAUUCCCCUAGUAACGGCGAGUGAAGCGGGAAGAGCUCAAAUUUGAAAUCUUAAAGGGUUUCCCUUUACGAAUUGUAGUUUAAAGAAGUGUUUUCUGUUGAGGUUUUGGUAAAAGUUCUUUGGAAUAGGACAUCAUAGAGGGUGAGAAUCCCGUAUUUGACCUUUACUUUCAACUUUGUGAUACACUUUCAAAGAGUCGGAUUGUUUGGGAAUGCAGUCCAAAAUGGGUGGUAAAUUUCAUCUAAAGCUAAAUAUUGGCGAGAGACCGAUAGCGAACAAGUACCGUGAGGGAAUGAUGAAAAGAACUUUGAAAAGAGAGUUAAACAGUACGUGAAAUUGUCAAAAGGGAAGCGUUUGACACCAGUGUUGUUUUUCUGAAAAUCAAUUAAAGAACUGUUUAUGCUAAGUUGUUUAGACUUUAUCAGCUAACUGUUUAGUUUUGAGCUUUUCUUUAAUGCACUUUUCAGUUAACAAGUCAACAUCAAUUUCUUUUGCUGUAAAAAAGCUUGAGGAAGGUGGCUUGAGAUUCGUCUUAAGUGUUUAUAGCCUCUUGCCUAUGCAGUCGGAGAGAUUGAGGUCUGCAGCGUAGAUCCUUCGGGGCUAAAUGCAUUUGUGCUAAGUUAUAGCAUUUUAUAGACAACUUGUUGACUAUGAUUUGUCUUGUAGCUUACUCGCUUAUGUUAUUUUACCUACGCUUAGGAUGUUGACAGCAGUAUAGACUGUA